rnacentral:rRNA from 1 species
AUACGUAGGGGGCGAGCGUUGUCCGGAAUGAUUGGGCGUAAAGGGCGCGUAGGCGGCCUGUUAAGUCUGGAGUGAAAGUCCUGUUUUCAAGAUGGGAAUUGCUUUGGAUACUGAUGGGCUUGAGUGCAGGAGAGGUUAUCGGAAUUCCCGGUGUAGCGGUGAAAUGCGUAGAGAUCGGGAGGAACACCAGUGGCGAAGGCGGGUAACUGGACUGCAACUGACGCUGAGGCGCGAAAGUGUGGGGAGCAAACAGGAUUAGAUACCCUGGUUGGCCACACUGUAAACGAUGAAUGCUAGGUGUAAGAGGUAUCGACCCCUUUUGUGCCGGAGUUAACACAAUAAGCAUUCCGCCUGGGGAGUACGGCCGCAAGGUUGAAACUCAAAGGAAUUGACGGGG